rnacentral:rRNA from 1 species
AAGAAAACCCUAAGGCAGAUGGUGAAUGCCUCGGGAGAUUAAGGCGAUGAAGGACGUGGGGUGACUGCGAUAAGCCUCGGGGAGGUGUCUACCAACCCUUGAUCCGGGGAUUUCCGAAUGGGGAAACCCAGCAUGGCCUAAAAACCAUGUUGUCUCUCACUGUUAAGUGAGAGAAGCGUACCCGCUGAACUGAAACAUCUAAGUAAGCGGAGGAAAGUAAACAAUUCCCUUAGUAGCGGCGAGCGAAGAGGGAGAAGCCCAAACCUCAAAAGAUAUUUAUAUCUUUAUGGGGGGUUGUAAGUGAGAUAAAUACCAGGGCGCAAGUUCUGGCAGAGUCCUAAUAAAAUAUGAUUUGGUUAGUCGAAUCACCCUGGAAAGGGGAGCCAAAGAUGGUGAUAGCCCAGUAGGCGAAAAUCAUCAUAUUACUCUGGUUAUCUUUACUUGAGUACCGCUCGGAAAUGAAAUUCCUGCGGGAAGCAGGCUAAACUACUAGCCAAGGCUAAAUACUUAAUCUCACCAAUAGUGGACCAGUACCGUGAGGGAAAGGUGAAAAGCAGGGAGGUGAUCCCGGUGAAACAGAACCUGAAACCAUCUGCCGACAAGAAAUCAGAGCCCCGCCCGUUAGGGCGAGGUGAUGGUGUACCUUUUGGAGCAGGCACCAACGAGUUUGUUCACUCUCUUAGUCUAAGUCCUUCUGGGACGGAGGCAUAGAGAAAUCGAGUGUGAAUAGCGCGUUCCUCACCUUUUUAUAACCUUAUCUUGUGUUUGGUUUGAAAGAUAAAUCUUUCUUAAUCUGGAGAAGAUUAAGUCGGAUUAUCCAAUCAAGCAGAGGGUAAAAAAGGUGAGAAUAGAGAGUGUUCAAGACCCGAAACCAGGCGAGCUUGCCAUGGCCAGGGUGAAUCUCGCCGAAAGGCGAGAGGAGGCCCGAACCCGUGAAUCGUGCAAAAUUCUGGGAUGAGCUGUGGUAAGAGGUGAAACGCCAAUCGAGCUUGGUAAUAGCUGGUUCUCCCCGAAAUAGCUUUAGGGCUAGCCUAGAGAAUCAAGGAAUAGAGGUAGAGCACUGGAAGAGAUGUCGUGGCGCAAGCUAGGCAUUUCUACUAAACUCCGAAUUCUAUUCCCAUAGUCUCUAGAGUCAGAACUUGGACGCUAAUGUCCAAGGUCAAGAGGGAAACAACCCAGACCUUCAUCUAAGGUCCCUAAAUUUGAGCUAAGUGAGAAAGGAGGUGGAAUUCCUCAGAUAGUUAGGAGGUGAGCCUAGAAGCAGCUAACCUUUAAAAAGUGCGUAACAGCUUACUAACUAAGGGAUUCUGCGCCAAAGAUGUAUCGGGACUCAAGCUCAAUACCGAAGAUAAGGCUCUGUAUCUUAUGAUGCAGGGGGUAGGGGAGCGUUCUCAGGGCAGUGAAGUUCCGUCGUGAGGCGGGGUGGAGCGCUGAGAAGUGAGAAUGUUGGUAUGAGUAACCGCAAUCAGGGUGAGAUCCCCUGACACCGAAAACCUCAGGUUUCCUUGGCAAUGACAAUCAGCCAAGGGUUAGGCGGUCCUAAGGGAAAGCCAAAUGGUGUACCCGAUGGACAGUCGGUUAAUAUUCCGACCCAUCCGUUAGAUAAAAUCAAGAGGACGAAGAGUAGUACGCUGAACGUAUUAUUGGAUUUACGUUUGUAACAUAAGUUUCGACAAGUGUUAUAAGAAUUCUUCUCUUCGGAGAAGGAGACUCAGCAGAGCGCUCUUCCCGGAAAAGUCUUGACUAUACUAUCUAUCGGAUUCCGUACCGCAAAACCGACACAGGUAGGUUAGUGUAAGUGUACUAAGGUGAACGGGUGAAACCUCGUUAAGGAACUCGGCAAAAAAGUGGUCGUAACUUCGGGAGAUGGCCUUCCGCCGUCAUGGCGGACGCAGUUAACGUUUCUUUGGCGACUGUUUUUCAAAAACACAGGUCCCUGCUAAACUCGAAAGAGGAUGUAUAGGGGCUGACGCCUGACCAGUGCUGGAACGUUAAGCUUUCCAGUUAUCUUGUGCUUGUCAUAGGAUAGCCGAGAGAGUGAAGCUUCCAGUGAACGUCCGCGGUAACUAUAACCGUGUUAAAGUAGCGAAACCCCUUGUCGGGUAAUUUCCGACCCGCAUGAAAGGCGUAACGACUGAAGAACUGUCUCAACGAGGAGCCCGGUGAAAAUACAGUAAGGGUGAAGAUGCCCUUUACCUGCGGCUAGACGAAAAGACCCCGGGAGCUUUACUGUAGUCAGAUAUUGGAUUUUGAUUUUGGAUGCGUAGCGUAGAAGGGAGACUUUGAGGUCUGGCUUCCGGGCCAGGCGGAGUCGCCAAUGAAACACCUUCCUUCCAAAGGCUUGGUUCUAAUCCCGUUUUACGGGAGACAGUGUUUGGCAGACAGUUUAGGUGGGGUCCUUGCCUCCUAAAAAGUAACGGAGGCGCUUAAAGGUCGGCUAAGUACGGAUGGAAGUCGUACGGAUAGGACAAAGCCAUAAGCCGGCUUUACUGCGAGCGAGAUAUCGCGAGCAGUUGGGAAACCAGAACUUAGUGAACCGACGGUUGCUCGUAGGAGCGCCGGAGAUUAACAGCUAAAAGUUACCCCGGGGAUAACAGGCUAGUCGGGCCCGCGAGUCCUUAUCAACGGCCCGGUUCGGCACCUCGAUGUCGGCUCACCACAUCCUGGAGGCGAAGAAGCUUCCAAGGGUCGGUCUGUUCGCCCGUUAAAGUGGUUCGUGAGCUGGGUUCAGAACGUCGUGAGACAGUUCGGUCUCUAUCUACCGCAGGCGUUUGAGUCUUGAAGGGAGUUGGUCUCAGUACGAGAGGACCAGAUUGAACUAACCUCUAGUGUGCCAGCUGUUCCGCCAGGAGCACUGCUGGGUAGCUACGUUAGGAAGGGAUAAGUGCUGAAAGCAUCUAAGCACGAAGCCUCCCCUAAGAUUAGGACUCAUAGACCCCUCAGAGAUGAUGAGGUUGAUAGGCUGUAGGUGUAAGUGGGGCAACCCAUUUAGCCGAGCAGUACUAAUCGGUCAUU